UACGGGGGGGGCGAGCGUUGUUCGGAAUUACUGGGCGUAAAGGGUUUGUAGGUGGCCUGCUAAGUCAGACGUGAAAUCCCUCAGCUUAACUGGGGAACUGCGUCUGAUACUGGCGGGCUUGAGGACAGGAGAGGAACGCGGAAUUCCAGGUGUAGCGGUGAAAUGCGUAGAUAUUGGGAGGAACACCAGUGGCGAAGGCGGCUCACUGGACCGGAACUGACGCUGAGGCGCGAAAGCGUGGGGAGCAAACAGG
rnacentral:rRNA from 1 species